rnacentral:rRNA from 2 species
UGUGCGAGUAAAGUUGAUGUGCAGUCUAGCCUGCCCACUGAAGUUUUAAAGGGCCGCGGUAUCUGAACCGUGCUAAGGUAGCAUAAUAAAUAGUCUUUUAAUUGGGGUCUAGUAUGAAUGGUUGGACAUGAAGUAAGCUGUUUUAACUGUAAGGUUUGAAUUUUACUUUUAAGUGAAAAGGCUUAAAUUUUAUGGUGGGACGAUAAGACCCUAUAAAGCUUCACGUUUUAUCUGUUUGUCGAAGAAAGUAUGGUUUUCUAUUCUUAUCAGCUAAGGCGUUUCGUUGGGGCGACGAAAAUAUAAGAUGUAACUGUUUUUACUGUUAAAAUAGAUUUUUUUAGGAGAGUUGAUCCUUUGUAGAGAUUAUAAGAAUUAAGUUACUUUAGGGAUAACAGCGUAAUUUUUCUUGAGAGUUCAUAUCGACAGAAGUAGUUGCGACCUCGAUGUUGAAUUAAGAUGCCCCCAAGGUGUAGAAGUUUUGGUGGUAGGUCUGUUCGACCUUUAAAAUCUUACAUGAUUUGAGUUCAGACCGGCGUG